UACGUAGGGUGCAAGCGUUGUCCGGAAUUAUUGGGCGUAAAGAGCUCGUAGGCGGUUCGUCGCGUCGGCUGUGAAAACCUGAGGCUCAACCUCAGGCCUGCAGUCGAUACGGGCGGACUUGAGUACUGCAGGGGAGACUGGAAUUCCUGGUGUAGCGGUGAAAUGCGCAGAUAUCGGGAAGGAACACCGGUGGCGAAGGCGGUUCUCUGGGCCUUACCUGAC
rnacentral:rRNA from 1 species